CAUUUACCAGACAUUUGACAGGAAUUCAAAAUUUCAUGACGUGGCCAGUCGCUAAAGUCAAGGUAAGACUAAAAUAAACAACAAUGACCUAAAGAAAGAAUAAUCACCCGCCACAACCAAAAAAUGAAAAACGCUGAGUUCGCGGGAAGUAUAGAUCCAUUUUCCCCAGUGCCCCAAACCAAAAUCUCCACAUCUCCGUCACCGAGUCUCCUUACUCAAAAAAUAGAGGAACCCAACAACGACACUCCCCCAUCUCCGGAUAUAUAGAAACUCGAGACCAAUUCUCCAUCAUCUCCGGCAAAGCCGGAGUCUAUUUGCACCAGCAGAACCUAAGGAAAGGAGUUUAUGGAAGACGGGAAUCAUGACUCGGGAAACGGUCAAGAAUUUGAAGAAGUUUGGACAUCAACCAGGGUAGUGGUGCUGAAUUUCUUGUUGUUGGCAUGACAUUUUUAGUUAUUUUUAUUUCAAAGAUUGGAUGCACUCCGUUGCUACUAUAUAUUGGAAGAAUGUAGCUACUCACAACAUGUUCCUCUGUCAUUCGUGGUUCGACGAUGUUUAUUAAUUAUAGAAAUUAGAAGUAUUUCUGUGCUAUUUUAACUUAGUAUGACAUUGAUAUCAUUUCUUUGUCAAAGUAUAAUAGAUAUUUGUUGCUGGAUUUACGUAGAUGUUGGUUGAUGAUUUGUAGCUUUGGUAGGAUGAUGUUUGUCGCUGGAAUUAUGUACAUUUUGAUUAAUGUCAACCUCUUUGGCAGGAUCAUUGUUGGCAGAUUUAUGUACAUUUUGAUUAAUGUUAACCUCUUUGGUAGGAUGAUAUUUGUUGGCGGAUUUAUGUACAUUUUCUUUGACCCAGCAAUAGACAAGGGCGAUCGAGGCUUUCUUCUUUA